UCUAAACCCUAAUUUACAAGUACCCGAGCACUAUUUUCUUAAUAUCUCAAAAAUCCAAUACUCAAAUAUCAUCAAACUUAUGUAUAAAGUUUAUUAACAUGAAUUUACAAAUUUUCUAAAAUUUUGAGCCAAAAUCUUAUCAAAUUGCUCAAGAUAUAGCUCAAGACACAACCACUAGUAAAUCGGGUCACUUACUACCCUUAGAUUGCAUGCACUGACUUCAAAAUCCAAUAAUUCCUUCACUUUAACUUAGAAUCCAGUAAGAAAUAAGCAAAAAAUGUAG
rnacentral:lncRNA from 1 species